UACGUAGGGUGCGAGCGUUGUCCGGAAUUAUUGGGCGUAAAGAGCUUGUAGGCGGUUUGUCGCGUCUGCUGUGAAAUCUCAAGGCUCAACCUUGAGCUUGCAGUGGGUACGGGCAGACUAGAGUGUGGCAGGGGAGACUGGAAUUCCUGGUGUAGCGGUGAAAUGCGCAGAUAUCAGGAGGAACACCGAUGGCGAAGGCAGGUCUCUAGGCAUUAACUGACGCUGAGGAGCGAAAGCAUGGGGAGCGAACAGG
rnacentral:rRNA from 1 species